AAUAAGGGUUACCUUUUAAAGAAAAAAUUUGUGAAAACGUUUAUAUUAAUUUUGAUCAGUCUGCUUGAAUGACAGUGUAUAUGCUAUUGUAGUCCGAUAACGACGGUUUCAAUAAAUGAGUAGCUUUUUGGUAAAAAAGCAGGUGUGCAAAAUUUCAGAUCCAUAUCCCAAAAACCUGGAAAGACAGAAAGACGGAUAGGCUGACGAAAAGGACUAUUUGUUUCUUAGUUUUACCGUUGUUCUCGUAGUUUUGUAGGAAAUACAGACAUAAUGUUUCUAAUCACGACAUAUUCAUCUUCCUUCUGCACCCAAAACAGUGAACGAAUUUCGUGGGUUGGUUAGUGGAUGGAAAUAAGAGAUCGAAAUAAUGCCGAUCGUAUCGUUCGUAUAUAAGCCGUCAUUAGACUCUUCCAAGAGACGAUAUAUUUAAGAAUAUACACAGAAAAUUUCAUAUCGUUCCGGUGAACAUUUUCGAAGCUGCUGGCAGACUUGAAAAGGCGAUUCAGAGUCAAGGACAAGACCAACUUUAAACAGAGGAACCAGUUCAGAGAUAUAGUGGCCAUCGCAAAACUCUUUUUUGAGAAGACCUUUCGGAGAUAAGCUGGAGUUUCUUU